rfam:marine actinobacterium PHSC20C1 scf_1099646003201 genomic scaffold, whole genome shotgun sequence.
GGCUUUCUUCGUGGCGGAGCCAGGCCGCUCACACAACAGAUGAUCGAUUACGUCGAUGCGAACAAGGACGAAUUCGGGGUCGAGCCGAUCUGCAGCCAACUGCCGAUCGCCCCG